UUGAUGUAUACACAUGUGUCUGGAC
rnacentral:piRNA from 1 species